AAUGUGAGCAUUGUUCACUCAAAAAUGCUCCAAAAGUAACGUUCUGUCUAACCUACUGUCCAGGAAAAAACCGCGCGCGUUGAAGCACGGGCCAAGCGGGCUUUUCAGCCCCGCUUCUUCUCUCCCUGGUAUUCUUCCCAUCACUACCAUUUUCACUAGCUUUUCUCUUCCUUCCCUUCUUCUUUCCCAUAAUACCAAUGGCAGUAACCGAUGAAACACCAUCACCCGCAACGAUACCAUCCCUCUCCCCAGCUUACAUACACCCACGUAGAGAUCCAUUCGAACACGGCCUAUUACCGAUCCCAAAGCUAAUUUUCACCGACGGAACACAAACCCUAGGUCCGAUUAAGGACAAGCUAUUGUCCCUUUCGUCUGAAUCAACUUACCGUGUUAACCCGGAAUCCAUUGCUGAGUCCCUUCAGAUCUCGCCUGACCAAGCUCAACUUCUCCUUGAAACCAUUGCCUGUGUUCUUCACUCCGUCUCUGACCCUCUCGUUACCGCUAAGCCCUCCGAGAUUGGGUCUGUUGGUGUUAAUGUGUUUGAUUUGGUUGUAUUUUUGUACAUUCAGAGUUACAAGAGGUUGCUCCCUAAAGGACAUAAGGAUUCAGCUGCUGUAGCUGAUGUUUGGCCCUCCACUUCAGCUUUCGAUGGGUUCUUGUCUGCAUUGUCACCAUUGCAGCUUGCACGUAGCAAUAGUCGACGAAAUAUGCCAUCACAGUCUGAUGAAGAGGCUCAUCAGUUAUCCUAUUUACAAAAGCACCUAGGGAACAUUCUGUCUCUUUUGUCGGAGUCAGUGGAAGGAGAUUGCGAGGAAUCACUGGUUCUGUCUGCAGAGAAGUUUGAGCAUCUUGGCUUUAUAUUCUAUUUUGGUGAAGGAUCUGAGAAUAUCCCAUUGAGUCAGAAUGCCCCAUUUUUUGCUAAUUCAGAUCCAAACAUGCCAGCUGUUCCUGUUCCUGCAGCUCAGCUACAUGAUUGGCUUCUACAAAAUAUAGCGUCUACAUUGGAACACAUAACUGAGAGUAGGGCUUCUGCAAAGGAAAAUGGACCAACGAGUGCCCCCGAUCAGGAUGUGCCAACGGCUGAUGUCUCUGCAAGUACAGUAAAGAAUUCAUCAAGUCCUAGAGGCCCAAAUUUCAUUGAGGGAAUCUCUAAAACAUCAUAUGUACGGAAGCCAAAUGAUCUUAAAGGCUCUUCUGUGAAGGUUGUCAAUUGUCAUGAAUCAGUCCUUUACAUUUUAGCACCGCUGACAUAUGCUACAGUAUAUGGAUGCUCUGAUGCUACCAUUGUCUUGGGAGCUGUUGGCAAGGCUGUAAGAGUUGAACAUUGUGAACGUGUGCAUGUAAUAGCAGCGGCUAAACGUAUCUGUAUCGCCAACUGUCGUGAAUGUGUUUUUUUCCUGGGAGUGAAUCAAGCACCACUUGUUGUUGGUGAUAACCAUAAAUUGCAGGUUGCUCCAUACAAUACUUUUUACCCUCAACUGGAGGAGCACCUAAAUGGAGUUGGUAUCGACCCAGCCAUCAACAAAUGGCAUGAACCCAUGGCUCUUGGUGUUGUUGAUCCCCAUGAUUCACUGUCACAUCCUGCAGGUGUCUCUGAUGUGCAGACUGAAUCUGCCAGCCGUGUAGACCCUGAUCAGUUCAUUAACUUUCUGGUAUGUUUGGACAAACUAGAGACAAGUUCAUGUUGAGUUUCAUUUUCCAAUUCCCAUAGUAUUGCUUCCAUUUCCGUUCGUGUUUCCCUGUUGUUAGUUUGGCGAAACUGAGCUCCCUAUUCUCUCGAGAAAAAAAGAUUCCGAAUUGGUCUGAAGGUAAGCAAUCUGGGUCAACAAAAGACAAUCCAUUCCCUUUACCUGAUGCUUUCCUGGCAUCAAAGCAGAGAAAUCAUAAAAACUUGGAAGGUCUUAAGCAGAUUUUGCAGGAAGCUGACCUUGAAGAGAGCCGGAAAAAGGAAUUAACAACAGCUCUUCAUGGGUGCUUUAAAGACUGGUUAUAUGCUUCAGGAAAUAUACGACAAUUGUACUUUCUUCAAAAUGAUUAGAGUUCUACAUAGAUCAUAAUGCAGUGUUGCAAGGAGUAGCAGAAACACUUGACUUUUCCUGUAGAUUUCAGUUUCAGCCAUGGAAGUUCCUCUUUUGCCAUUUCUUUUGGAGGCAGCUGGGAGUUUAAUGCUAUUGCCUGUGCAGCUAUGAACAAGUUCACACUGUUGUAACUGUUGUGCAGAUUUUAGUUAGAAUGGCUUCUGUGUUGUAUUCUUUCAAGCAAAAUACAUUUUUCAUGUACUAAUACAGUAGCUUGUAUUUUUAUUUUUUUUAAAAAUAAUUAGGUUCUUAAUUUCUCCCGAGUUACUCUGUUAUGAAAUUUAGCAGUAGUUUGCUUUGGCUGUUGGGGUUCCUGUAUACAAUUAAGAAGUGCUGAAGUGAAGCCAAUAUUUUGUAGAAGUAGUCGCAAUCAAUGUGAAUUCUAAAUGCAGUUGUGUUUAUGUUCAA